CUCUCAAAGACUGUUCAUCAUUCCUAACGGUCCCAGAAGAAGGUUUCAAGCUUCUAAAGUAGCCAUCAGCAGGUGGAUAGUAGCAGCCAUCAUACAAGCUUACAAGGCAUCAAAUUUGAAAAUCCCAGAAGGACUCAAGGCUCAUUCUACAAGGUCCCUUUCCUCUUCUUGGGCAGCAGCAGCUAAAGUUUCACCAGAACUUAUUUGCAAAGCGGCCACUUGGUCCUCCACAAACACUUUCAUAAGACAUUACCA